GUUCUUGCCUGGAUAGCUCAGUUGGUUAGAGCGUGGUGCUGAUAACACCGAGGUUGCAGGUUCGAUCCCUGUAUGGGAACU
rnacentral:tRNA from 1 species